UCGGCAGGAUCCCAACAUCCAGGAAACCUGAUCGAACCUUUCCUUGGGACUCUCUCCAGGACACACAAACCCAGCGCGCUAUUAAGAGUUAUGUGGUAGAUGUGUGGAGCUGCCCACCAGCGGAAGUGGUAAAUGCUGGUACAGUGAGGAAAUGUAAAAUACAGGACAUGGGCAUGUGGCUCUUGAGUCUAGGACGGGACCGUGGGCUGAUUGAGAUAUGAGCCUUAUAUUGGGAAAACGGACAGUGGAUGGGCCGAAAGGUUCUUAUUUGCUAUCAAAAUCAUACAAGAGGACAAUUUAUAAAUGUGGAUAUGCCACUAAUUUAAGCAUUGGAGUCUCGACAUCUACAGGUCAAAGCUGUACAGCCAACAAUAUAUGAAGAAAAACGUGCACCAUAUCCAAUCUAGAGACUUGGUCUUUAUUAACAGUUUCCAAAGGAACCGCACUGGAAAGGAGCUUAUCAAGUAUUAUGUACAACACAGAUUUGUUUGUUUCUUGGAUCCAUAUCUCCCAUUGCAAGCUUGCUCCUCCCCCAAAAGAUUUAAAA